CCUCCACUUCCCGAACAGCCGCUGUGCGCCUCCUCCGACGAGCUCCAGCCGCCGUGAACAGCCCUGUUCCAAGUGCCUAUCCUUAAUCCUCCAAUUGGGUCAACACAGUGAUGAAUUCUUGAAACUGACGAGUUUGAUGAGUGAUGGGUCCCUUGGGCAUUUGAAUCCUCGAAGAUUGUACAUCCGCAUCAAACACCGUAAGGUCAAAAUGAUCAAAAGGGGAGUGUGCGAGGUUUCUGAAAAUACAGGGGGUGUACUACACAGUUUCUAAAGUACAGAUGUGACACACCGACCCACAAGCCACACAAAAUUGGGCAUGUCGGGAUCAUAGAUUGACCCACAGGUAAGGUCGGUUGACGGAGUGUAGAUCUAUUGCAGAGACUGCAGGGGAAGAUGCAAGCACUUCAACCGUGGAUGGUGGUUUCCUUCUUCACAUACGCACACACACGAUAGAAUGUGC